rnacentral:rRNA from 1 species
UACAGGGGGCUCGAGCGUUAGUCGGAAUCACUGGGCUUAAAGGGUGCGUAGGCGGCCCGCCAAGUGCUUUGUGAAAUCCCACAGCUCAACUGUGGAACAGCAGGGCAAACUGGCGGGCUUGAAGCAGGUAGGGGCUGGAAGAACAGUAGGUGGAGCGGUGAAAUGCGUAGAUAUCUACUGGAAUGCCGAUGGGGAAGCCGUCCAGCUGGGCCUGUCUUGACGCUGAGGCACGAAAGCGUGGGGAGCAAACAGG